CCAGAGGGCCGGGCGGCCGCGUCGCGCGCAAGCGCGCCGAGGAAAGUCCGGGCUCCACGGAACAACGGUGGCGGGUAACGCCCGCCGGCUCGGGCUUCGGUCCGCAGUCAGGGACAGUGCAACAGAGAGCAGACGGCCUGGGCCUCGGCCCGGUCAUGGUGAAAGGGUGCGGUAAGAGCGCACCGCGCGGCCGGUAACGGUCGUGGCACGGUAAACCCCACCGGGAGCAAGACCGAAUAGGGGCGGCAUGGCGGCGUUCGCGUCGCCGGGGUGUGUUCCCACCCGCUGCCCGGGUUGGUUGCUGGAGCGCGUCGGCAACGGCGCGCCGAGAGGAAUGGUCGCCUAUCCCCGUUCGCGGGGUGGACAGAACCCGGCUUACAGGCCCUCUGGCAAA
rnacentral:RNase_P_RNA from 1 species